rnacentral:rRNA from 1 species
AAAACUCGACCGCUGGCCGGCAGGCUUACACAUGCAAGUCGAGCGGAAACGAGAAUAGCUUGCUAUUCGGCGUCGAGCGGCGGACGGGUGAGUAAUGCUUGGGAAUAUGCCUUUGAGUGGGGGACAACAGUUGGAAACGACUGCUAAUACCGCAUAACGUCUACGGACCAAAGGGGGGGACGCUUCGGCACCUCUCGCUCAUUGAUUAGCCCAAGUGAGAUUAGCUAGUUGGUAAGGUAAUGGCUUACCAAGGCGACGAUCUCUAGCUGGUUUGAGAGGAUGAUCAGCCACACUGGGACUGAGACACGGCCCAGACUCCUACGGGAGGCAGCAGUGGGGAAUAUUGCACAAUGGGCGAAAGCCUGAUGCAGCCAUGCCGCGUGUGUGAAGAAGGCCUUCGGGUUGUAAAGCACUUUCAGCGAGGAGGAAAGGUUAGUAGUUAAUAACUGCUAGCUGUGACGUUACUCGCAGAAGAAGCACCGGCUAACUUCGUGCCAGCAGCCCGUNAUUUAC